GGCCAGAUAGCUCAGUGGAUUAGAGCACUGUCCUGCUACACCAAGGUUUCAGGUUCAAUCCCUGGUCAGGGCA
rnacentral:tRNA from 1 species